rnacentral:rRNA from 1 species
UACCAGCACCCCGAGUGGUCGGGACGAUUAUUGGGCCUAAAGCAUCCGUAGCCGGUUCUACAAGUCUUCCGUUAAAUCCACCUGCUUAACAGAUGGGCUGCGGAGGAUACUAUGGAGCUAGGAGGCGGGAGAGGCAAGCGGUACUUAGUGGGUAGGGGUAAAAUCCGUUGAUCCAUUGAAGACCACCAGUGGCGAAGGCGGCUUGCCAGAAUGCGCUCGACGGUGAGGGAUGAAAGCUGGGGGAGCAAACAGG